rnacentral:rRNA from 1 species
AACGAACGCUGGCGGCAGGCCUAACACAUGCAAGUCGAACGCCGUAGCAAUACGGAGUGGCAGACGGGUGAGUAACGCGUGGGAACAUACCCUUCGGUUCGGAAUAACUCAGGGAACUUAGUGCUAAUACCGGGUACGUCCGAGGUAAACUUAGGAGAAGAUUUAUCGCCGGAGGAUUGGCCCGCGUCUGAUUAGCUUGUUGGUGAGGUAAUGGCUCACCAAGGCGACGAUCAGUAGCUGGUCUGAGAGGAUGAUCAGCCACAUU